GAAGUACUCCCUCUGUCCCAAAAUUUUUGUCGUAGAUUUGUCUAAAUACGAAUGUAUCAAGUCACAUUUUAUUAUUAGAUACAUCCGUAUCUAGACAAAUAUAAGACAAGAAUUUUGGGACGCAGGGAGUAAUAC
rfam:Triticum aestivum genome assembly, contig: Triticum_aestivum_CS42_TGACv1_scaffold_343285_4DL